GUUGAACGCUAGCGGCAGGCCUAACACAUGCAAGUCGAGCGGAUGGAGGGAGCUUGCUCCUGGAUUCAGAGUCGGACGGGGGAGUGUUACCUAUAAGUCUGCCUGGUAGUAGAGGAUAACGUCCGGAAAAAGGCGCUAUUAACCCAUCCGACCUGAGGGAGAAAGUGGGGGAUCUUCGUAACUCCGGCUAGCAGAUGAGCCUAGGUCGGAUUAGCUAGUGGGUGGGGUAAAGGCAAACCAAGCCGACGCGCCGUAACUGGUCUGAGACGAUGAGCAGUCACCCUGGAACUGAGACAGGGUCCAGAGUCCGACGGGAGGCAGCAGUGGGGAAUAUUGGAAUAUGGGAGAAAGCCUGAUCCAGCCAUGGCGCGUGUGUGAAGAAGGUCUUCGGAUUGUAAAGCACUUUAAGUUGGGAGGAAGGGAUGUAAGUUAAUAGCUUGCUGUAUUGACGUUACCAACAGAAUAAGCACCGGCUAACUUCGUG
rnacentral:rRNA from 1 species